rnacentral:rRNA from 1 species
UACGUAGGGUGCAAGCGUUAAUCGGAAUUACUGGGCGUAAAGCGUUCGCAGGCGGUUUUGUAAGUCUGUCGUGAAAGCCCCGGGCUCAACCUGGGAAUUGCGAUGGAGACUGCAAGGCUUGAAUCUGGCAGAGGGGGGUAGAAUUCCACGUGUAGCAGUGAAAUGCGUAGAGAUGUGGAGGAACACCGAUGGCGAAGGCAGCCCCCUGGGUCAAGAUUGACGCUCAUGCACGAAAGCGUGGGGAGCAAACAGG